rnacentral:tRNA from 1 species
GGCAGUGUGGAUAAGUGGUUAGGUCACUGGAAAAGAUUGACCUGGGUUCAAAUCUCUGCUCUGCCA